UACGUAGGUGGCAAGCGUUGUCCGGAAUUAUUGGGCGUAAAGCGCGCGCAGGCGGCCUUUUAAAGUCUGAUGUGAAAGCCCACGGGCUCAACCGUGGAAGGUCAUUGGAAACUGAAAGGCUUGAGUACAGAAGAGGAAAGCGGAAUUCCACGUGUAGCGGUGAAAUGCGUAGAGAUGUGGAGGAACACCAGUGGCGAAGGCGGCUUUCUGGUCUGUAACUGACGCUGAGGCGCGAAAAGCGUGGGGAGCAAACAGG
rnacentral:rRNA from 1 species